CUGCGAAUAUUCUCGCUGUUCUGAUUCUGUAAUAAUCAGGGCAGGCUAAACAUUCGCUAUAUUAAAAUACCAUGCAUGUGUCCCCAGACCUAGUUCUUUCCCUAGAUCUGGUUUUAUAAAUGCUGGUGAUAAAC
ensembl:snoRNA SNORA72 Small nucleolar RNA SNORA72